rnacentral:rRNA from 1 species
CUUGGGUGACGAGUGGCGGACGGGUGAGUAAUGUCUGGGGAUCUGCCCGAUAGAGGGGGAUAACCACUGGAAACGGUGGCUAAUACCGCAUAACGUCGCAAGACCAAAGAGGGGGACCUUCGGGCCUCUCACUAUCGGAUGAACCCAGAUGGGAUUAGCUAGUAGGCGGGGUAAUGGCCCACCUAGGCGACGAUCCCUAGCUGGUCUGAGAGGAUGACCAGCCACACUGGAACUGAGACACGGUCCAGACUCCUACGGGAGGCAGCAGUGGGGAAUAUUGCACAAUGGGCGCAAGCCUGAUGCAGCCAUGCCGCGUGUAUGAAGAAGGCCUUCGGGUUGUAAAGUACUUUCAGCGGGGAGGAAGGCGAUGGGGUUAAUAACCUUGUCGAUUGACGUUACCCGCAGAAGAAGCACCGGCUAACUCCGUGCCAGCAGCCGCGGUAAUACGGAGGGUGCAAGCGUUAAUCGGAAUUACUGGGCGUAAAGCGCACGCAGGCGGUCUGUUAAGUCAGAUGUGAAAUCCCCGGGCUUAACCUGGGAACUGCAUUGAAAC